rnacentral:rRNA from 1 species
UAGAGUUUGAUCCUGGCUCAGGACGAACGCUGGCGGCGUGCUUAACACAUGCAAGUCGAACGGUGAUGACAGGGCUUGCCUUGUCGGAUCAGUGGCGAACGGGUGAGUAACACGUGAGUAACCUGCCCCAGACUCUGGGAUAACCCCGGGAAACCGGAGCUAAUACCGGAUAUGACCUUCGUGCGCAUGUGCGGGGGUGGAAAGUUUUUCGGUCUGGGAUGGGCUCGCGGCCUAUCAGCUUGUUGGUGAGGUAGUGGCUCACCAAGGCGACGACGGGUAGCCGGCCUGAGAGGGCGACCGGCCACACUGGGACUGAGACACGGCCCAGACUCCUACGGGAGGCAGCAGUGGGGAAUAUUGCACAAUGGGCGAAAGCCUGAUGCAGCGACGCCGCGUGAGGGAUGACGGCCUUCGGGUUGUAAACCUCUUUCAGCAGGGAAGAAGCGGGAGUGACGGUACCUGCAGAAGAAGCACCGGCUAACUACGUGCCAGCAGCCCCGGUCAA